UCCCUAUCUCCUUUAAAAUUUCCUCAUCCAUGUAUUUAGUAGCUAGAACAGACUUAGAGGCUAGGGUUUCAUAGUUAUUUUUCAUAUCUAUAUUCUUAAAGGCCCAUGGUAGAGGGGAAUUUACCUCUUCAAUGUCUUCUAUAGAUGCUAAAGGAAUUGCUGAACCUUCAAUAGGUUGAUACUAUGUGAUUUAAGGUGCAGCAGAGGAUUGAGGUGUGGGUUCUGUUGUAGAACCUGAAACAAAGGACUUGGUACGCUUCCUAACAGGCUCAGAAGAUGAAAAUUGGGGUUGUGCACUAGAUCUAGUAGGAGUAGGUGGUUGUUUUCGCUUGUAAACUGACUUAGCUUUGGCACUGUUUUUAGCAAUAACUUUCAUUUUGCUCUAAGGGUUUGGUUGAGUAGUUAGAGGUGGAGAUUACAAGUUAGAGUUUCAAUGGG
rnacentral:misc_RNA from 1 species